rnacentral:rRNA from 1 species
UACGUAGGGUGCAAGCGUUAAUCGGAAUUACUGGGCGUAAGCGUGCGCAGGCGGUUUUGUAAGUCUGUCGUGAAAGCCCCGGGCUCAACCUGGGAAUUGCGAUGGAGACUGCAAGGCUUGAAUCUGGCAGAGGGGGGUAGAAUUCCACGUGUAGCAGUGAAAUGGCGUAGAGAUGUGGAGGAACACCGAUGGCGAAGGCAGCCCCCUGGGUCAAGUUGACGCCUCAUGCACGAAAGCGUGGGGAGCAAACAGG